rnacentral:rRNA from 1 species
AGAGUUUGAUCCUGGCUCAGAGUGAACGCUGGCGGCAGGCCUAACACAUGCAAGUCGAGCGGCAGCGCGUCCGACCACCCUCGGGUGGUCGGAUGGCGGCGAGCGGCGGACGGGUGAGGAAUGCAUCGGAAUCUGCCUCGUUGUGGGGGAUAACGUAGGGAAACUUACGCUAAUACCGCAUACGACCUACGGGUGAAAGUGGGGGACCUUCGGGCCUCACGCGAUGAGAUGAGCCGAUGCCGGAUUAGCUAGUUGGCGGGGUAAAGGCCCACCAAGGCGACGAUCCGUAGCUGGUCUGAGAGGAUGAUCAGCCACACUGGAACUGAGACACGGUCCAGACUCCUACGGGAGGCAGCAGUGGGGAAUAUUGGACAAUGGGGGCAACCCUGAUCCAGCCAUGCCGCGUGUGUGAAGAAGGCCUUCGGGUUGUAAAGCACUUUUGUUGGGGAAGAAACCGGCCGGGUUAAUACCCUGGUUGAAUGACGGUACCCAAAGAAUAAGCACCGGCUAACUUCGUGCCAGCAGCCGCGGUAAUACGAAGGGUGCAAGCGUUACUCGGAAUUACUGGGCGUAAAGCGUGCGUAGGCGGUUUGUUAAGUCUGCUGUGAAAGCCCUGGGCUCAACCUGGGAACUGCAGUGGAUACUGGCGAGCUAGAGUGUGUCAGAGGAUGGUGGAAUUCCCGGUGUAGCGGUGAAAUGCGUAGAGAUCGGGAGGAACACCAGUGGCGAAGGCGGCCAUCUGGGACAACACUGACGCUGAGGCACGAAAGCGUGGGGGGCAAACAGGAUUAGAUACCCUGGUAGUCCACGCUGUAAACGAUGAAUACUAGGUGUAGGGGGUGUAAACUCCCUCUGUGCCGCAGCAAACGCAAUAAGUAUUCCGCCUGGGGAGUACGGCCGCAAGGUUGAAACUCAAAGGAAUUGACGGGGGCCCGCACAAGCAGCGGAGCAUGUGGUUUAAUUCGACGCAACGCGAAGAACCUUACCAAGGCUUGACAUCCACUUAAACUCAUGGAAACAUGAGGUCCCUUCGGGGGAAGUGAGACAGGUGGUGCAUGGUUGUCGUCAGCUCGUGUCGUGAGAUGUUGGGUUAAGUCCCGCAACGAGCGCAACCCUUAUCUUUAGUAGCCAGCAAUUCGGAUGGGAACUCUAGAGAGACUGCCGGGGAUAACCCGGAGGAAGGUGGGGAUGACGUCAAAUCAUCAUGCCCCUUAUGACCAGGGCUACACACGUGCUACAAUGGCGUAAACAAAGGGAAGCAGAGUCGUGAGGCCGAGCAAAUCCCAGAAAUAACGUCUCAGUUCGGAUUGUAGUCUGCAACUCGACUACAUGAAGCUGGAAUCGCUAGUAAUCGCGAAUCAGAAUGUCGCGGUGAAUACGUUCCCGGGUCUUGUACACACCGCCCGUCACACCAUGGGAGUCGGAAAUGCCCGAAGUCAGUGACCCAACCGUAAGGAGGGAGCUGCCGAAGGCAGGUCUGAUAACUGGGGUGAAGUCGUAACAAGGUAACC